UACGAAGGGUGCAAGCGUUAAUCGGAAUUAUUGGGCGUAAAGGGUGCGUAGGCGGUUCGGUAAGUUUCGUGUGAAAUCUUCGGGCUCAACUCGAAGUCUGCACGAGAUACUGCCGGGCUUGAGUGUGGGAGAGGUUAGUGGAAUUCCCAGUGUAGAGGUGAAAUUCGUAGAUAUUGGGAAGAACACCAGUGGCGAAGGCGGCUAACUGGUCCAGAUCUGACGCUGAGGUGCGAAAGCGUGGGGAGCAAACAGG
rnacentral:rRNA from 1 species